rnacentral:lncRNA from 1 species
UUUAUAUAAAUAAACAUUAAAUCUUCUUUCAUUUCAUAUUAACUUACUUGAACAUUUAUAAGGAAAAUGCUACUUUUCCCGGGUCAAACCCCGAAUUAUUUCAAAACGGUGUCGUUUUGGGUUUUUUUUUUUUUUUCUUUCUACUUGCAUGAAACUUAGUCGUUUGAGAUUGUAAAAACAAAACAAACUAAAGCAGAAAAAAUUCAAGUGCUUCUCUGCCCCUUUCAUUAUGACAAAAUUCUAAAAUCAUAGAGUUGCAAAUAAUCACAUCCAAUGAAGAUGACUCCUUGAAAACCCGUAUUGCAUACUCAAGACAACGGCAUUUAGUGUACACCUCAACUAAAGCUCCUCUGCAUACAACAUUUAUCUUGUAACAAUUUCUAAUCAUGAAAAAAUGAAUUUGUUUGCCUUGCUCAAGAGAAGAAAUGUUUGCACAUGCUGCCAAAAAGAGUUUCAAAUGUAAAUUUACAAGGUCUUGUCUCCCAUUGCAUCUCUGAGAAAGAUGUCAUAGCUUCUUCACUCUGAACAUGACGAGCAUGGCCAGUCAACACAACAUUCCAAGAAACCUUGUCCUGCCGUUGAGUGAACGCUGUAUUUUUUGCAGACCAAAUCAGCUCAAAUUCCAGACAAAAUCAGCACAAUUUUCGGACCAAAUCAAGAACAAAUUGCAGACCAACUCAAGCACAAAUUCCAGACCAAUUCAAUUACAAAUUGCCGACCAAAUCAGCACAAAUUCUAAACCAAUUCAAGCACAAAUUGCAGACGAAAACGAAGACGAGAAAACAAAGAGGAGAAGACGAAAACGAAGAGGAGAGGAACAAGGAAGAAGGGCUGCUUGACUCUAGAUCGAAUGCGACUGGAGAUUUUGAUUUUCCAGUUCUAAAGGGAUUUUCCUCAACAAAGGGCAACAAGAAAGUCAUGAAAGAGAAAAGAUGAGACUAUUAGCUAGCGGACGAAGGAUUUAGCUCUAGAACCAGCUAGGAACCCGAAAAAGAAAGGAGAAUGUGAAAAGCGGAUUCCCCUUCUCGUUAUCCAAUCCGCGGUUGAACAGUUCGAAUCUCGACUAAGAAUCUAUGCUUUUGCAGUCGAUUGAUGAUACAGAGAGCUUGUUUUUAUUUUUUUGUUUUAAAGCUCCGAGAGGUCUCUCUCUCCUCUCCGAUUUUGUUUGUUGCUAUGCUUUGCUUUUUUAGGAGACAUAGAGCGAGAGAGAGAGAGAGAGGAAGACGAAAACGAAGAGAGGAACGUUUGCUUUUGCUAGGGUGAAACGGUAGCGUUUCAUGAAGAAGAGAAAACGGCAUCGUUUUGUUUUAGUUUUCGGGAUUUGACCCGGGGUAAAUAGCAGAACUCCAUUUAUAAUGGCUUCUCAUUUGAAAGCUGUUCAAAAAUAAACCAUGACAGAUGAGAUGCAUAAAUCAUUAUGCAAGUAUAGUAAAGAGCACCCCCACAUGCUAGCACAAAGAAUUGCAGCAAUGGGUUUUUGAAAAUUUUCACUUGGAAGUUAGUCAAACAAGAGGAGGAGGAGGAGGUGGAGGAGGAAGAGGGAGAGCAAUCCGAAGAAACUGGCUUCACAAAUCUGGACGAGAACCUUCUGUUCGAGGUGUUGAAACACGCGGACGCCAGGACUUUGGCGUGGGCAGCCUGCGUCAACAAGCUCUGGCACAAGACGGCUCUCAAGACGAGUGCCUCUGGGAGUUGAUCUGCACCCGUCAUUUCGCUAACAUUGGGUGUGCUACCCAACAGCUGAGAUCCGUGGUCCUGGCUCUCGGUGGCUUCCGUCGCCUUCACUCCCUCUACCUCCACCAGCUUCCCAGGCUGCCACCCGGCGCUCCGCCUUCUUCCUCCAAGUGGAAUCCUCUCCCGCGCGUCAUGGGCCCAAGACCCCGGCCCACUGGGGGAGAGACGAGGUCCAUCUCUCCUUGUCUCUGCUUUCCGUUCGUUACUAUGAGAUGAUGACUAUUAGGGAUCUAACCAAGCAAUGAUAUAUGUACUCCUUCCUCCUUGUCUAUCUACCUUCUAUCUCUGUUUUUUUCCCUUUUUUUUCCUCCUUUUUGGCUGGUGAGUUUUGGUUUUCUUUUCUUUUUCUUUUUUAUAAAGAAAAAGAAAAAAAAACUUUUCGUAUGUAUGUAAUCUGGGAUUUAAAUUUGUGAUCUGUAUUCUUAUUAUGCUAAAACUAGAAUUGUGAAUCUGUCGGAAUUUAUCAAUUUCAUGUGUUAUUAUUUUUGGUUGGAGGUGAGGAUGAUGCGUUUUUUGGGAUGGAACACAAGCAGAAAGGAACAAAAAGGGUCCAGUUGGUGUUGAAUGUCUGUUAGUGGCCACGUUUUGUGGUUGUUUCGGUGGCCUGAUUAUCAGUAAGUAACAGACAAAGUGAUGGGUUUCUGUAUAGAUUUAGAUCUAUAAAAGCCAACGUCCCCUCAGAUUAUUAUGAUGACUUUUUUGUCCUAUUAACAAAAGUAGUAGUCAUUGCGUCUCAACGAUUUCUUUUUGAGAACCGAAAGGGCCAUACGCAUCAGAGGCUGCCAUAGCUAGCAGCAGCAGCAGGGCCUUUCUAACUUUUUCUAUGCAUUCGUUACUUAUACCUCGCCCUGAUCACUGUAUGCAGGCUUGAAAAUUAUUGGGUACUCUUAUAAUUGGAAUUAACAUUAAUUUUGUUAUGCUCCGUGACUUACUGAUCCUUUUCUGUUACGGAAUUCUCUAAAUAAUGUAGUAGGGUAUGAUUGUAUGGUUUGUUUUAUUUGGAAGAUUAAUUCAACUGUGG